GGGGCUGACUCGGUUUCGACCGUGGUCGAGCCGUGGCCAGGGGAGCGUGCCGAGGGUGCUCGCGCGACCUCGAUAAUCCCACGCGGGAACCAUUAAUUGCCAAGAGCAACGUGUCCCUCGAGGACAUGACCAUCGCAGCUUAAUAACCUGCGACGAUCCGCCUCCGAUGCCUCGUAGGAGGGUCGUGAUCGUCAUCACGAGGCUCAACCCCGAAGGCACUGACCGCCGGGCCCAGGGGGAAAUCUAACGGUGGUAUGGAUGCGGAAGCUGCCUGGUUCUGGAGCACCGCAUCCGAGCUCAUCCGGAACCUACGCACGUAGAGCCCCGAGCGACGGGAUCGCGGGACCCGGGUUCGACUCCCGGCAGCUCCACUU
rnacentral:tmRNA from 1 species